CUUGAGCACGUAGGUGGGUUUGUAAGUCAGAUGUGAAAGCCUUCUGUUCAACGGAAGAAUUGCAUCUGAAACUACAAGUCUUGAGUGUAGGAGGGGAGAAUGGAACUUCUGGUGGAGCGGUGAAAUCCGUAGAUAUCAGAAGGAACGCCGGCGGCGAAAGCGAUUCUCUGGCCUAUUACUGACACUCAGUGUGCGAAAGCUAGGGGAGCAAACGGGAUUAGAUACCCCGGUAGUCCUAGCCGUAAACGAUGGGCACUAAGUAGAGGGGAUUACCGACGUUCUCUCUGCCGUAGCUAACGCAUUAAGUGCCCCGCCUGGGGAGUACGGCCGCAAGGCUAAAACUCAAAAGAAUUGACGGGGGCUCGCACAAGCGGUGGAGCAUGUGGCUUAAUUCGAUGCAACGCGAAGAACCUUACCGGGGCUUGACAUGGUAGAAGUAGGAACCCGAAAGGGUAACGAACGGUAUCCAGUCCGUGACUAUCACAGGUGUUGCAUGGCUGUCGUCAGCUCGUGUCGUGAGACGUUGGGUUAAGUCCCCUAACGAGCGAAACCCUUGUUUUUAGUUACCAGCGGGUUAUGCCGGGUACUCUAGAAAGACUGCCGUCGUCAAGACGGAGGAAGGUGGGGAUGACGUCAAGUCAUCAUGGCCCUUAUGCCCCGGGCUGCACACGUGCUACAAUGGUCGGUACAAACGGAAGCGAAGCCGAGAGGUGAAGCGAAUCCAAGC
rnacentral:rRNA from 1 species